UGAUAGAGGGAACCCCCUUUCCAUGUUCUUUUCAUUUUGUCUUCUCUCAACGUGUGCCCAAUGAAUCGUAUAACAACUUGCACCCUAAAGAAACCGCAUAUCCACAUGAGUUCCUUCGCCGUUUUAGUCUUUUCCUCAAUAAGAUAUGAUAUAUCUUGAACAUUUUCGAAUGAAUUUCACUUUAUUCUUACGCUUAUGGAGGGAUGACUUGAUGCAAUUGGCAAUUUGGAUUGACGAAUUUCUUUUUAUAUGCAUGUCUAAUUAACUGCUGAUAGUAAACGGAUCCAGAUCAACGGGUACUAAUUGUCCAGGUACAUGGGGUAUUUUCUGUUCAUAUAACAUUGAGCUGGCAAACUUCUAUUGACUUUUUGUAUUGUAUUUGAGCUAAUCGUGCCAACCCAAGUUCCUAAGCACCCACCUGUUUGAUAAUUUAGCUAAGUGGAUGAGAAGUUCAACUAACAAUAUCUUGCCCUUCCUGGUAACCUUGCUUGUAGCUACCCUACUUGUCCUAAUUGCCACAUCUCUCUAGCAUCAUCCCCUUUAUAAAGCCCUCAAGCAAACUCUAGUUUCCUCGUACCUUUUCUCCAGAAUUGAAUCUUCAAGUUGAACCGAAAUGGCUUUUUAUGGGAACUCAUCAUUUCUGCUCUCUCUACUUCUCAUCACUUCGUUAGCUAUUAGUGGCAAAACUGUACGCGCAGCUCGGGUUCUCCUUGAGACAACCUUCCCUAAACUUCCUGAUCUUCCCAAGCCAGAACUGCCCUCUCUCCCCACUGUCCCAACUCUGCCGGAACCCAAAUUACCACCUCUCCCCAAGGUUGAAGUUCCACUGUUGCCUCACGUCCCAACUUUACCAAAGCCUGAGUUGCCUUCUUUGCCUAAGCCUGAAUUGCCACCGCUUCCUCAUGUCCCUACUCUUCCAAAGCCUGAGUUGCCUUCUUUGCCUAAGCCUGAGUUGCCACCACUUCCUCAUGUCCCCACUCUUUCGAAACCUGAGUUGCCGCCUAUGCCUCAUGUUCCCUCCUUUUCUAAACCUGAAUUGCCACCUUUACCGAAGCCAGAGGUGCAAAAAUUACCCGAAUUGCCACCUCUUCCCCACCUCCCUGACCUGCCGAAGCCCACAUUGCCUUCCAUCCCCACCCUUCCGAAGGACAUUACGAUCCCUUCCUUAUUCCCACCUCACUCAGCCACUAGUCCUUGAGGCAGUGUUUGGAUCAUGUGUUUAAUGGUCGGAUUUCUAUUUUCACUCCCCUUGUCAUUUCCCUUCAUAAUGCCCUUGACAAAUCCAAGAUCGAAACACGUCCCAAGUUCCUUACCAAGCAUCGUAUCAUCUUUCAUGCCCUCCAACAUCUGUGGAGUAUUAUAGUAGCAUUAAUGUUUUAUGUUGAGAUCUUAAGAGGAGUCCUGAGAUUGUACUAUAGUUCCUUUCCCAGUUUGAUUCUGUUUUUCCUUGGCAUGUCUUGUUAAGGUGGUUGUGCUUGAAUAAAAGUUUGUAUUUUCUUAUGCUAGUUUUGUGAUAUAUAUGUUUCUUGAAUAAUUUUAGGCACACUUCAUAAAUUAUCGCAUGAAUUACUUCAUAUUCACACGAAUUGUGGGCCUUAUACCCAAGUGAUAGUGUCCGCUCAGUAAUUCUUUAAGUGUACCUAAAAAUUACUCGUGUUUCUUAAUUGCGGAGAAAGUUGUGAAAUUAGGAAAGCAUGAUUUUCAAAAAAAAGUUUUAGCAAGUGCAAUAGUUAUGGUCUCUCUCUCCAAAAUGGGCUUUGUAGUCUCCCAAAUCUAAUAUUCAUAUUUGUGAGAAGAGAUUGGUGCAUAAUAGAAGAGGAGAUGGAAAGAGAGAGGAGAGAAGAAGAGAAGGAAAACCAAACAAAUAAAACCGAACAAGGAAACAAAUAUAAACGUAGAUAUGAAAUCCUAUAAAGAUUCAACUUCAUAAGUAAAUUAAAAUUCAAAUAUAAAAUUAAAUAAAUUCAAACAUAAAUAUUUUUCUCUUCCCACUC
rnacentral:lncRNA from 1 species